rnacentral:rRNA from 1 species
GGGGGUGAAUAGCGCAUGUGUCCUGUGUGUUGUCGCGGGGUAACUAUUGUGAACAAUAUCUAUUACCCCGUAUAACUAUGUGUGACAUGUGUUUUUCUUUUGAAGGGCGCUUGUGUCCCUACACAAUAGGCCUGUGCUGUAUAAUAUCUAUGGUGGGAGGACGGCUCUCCCCUGCGACAAUACACAUCCCACAUGUGAGAGGGAGCUCGCCCACUGUGGCUGAGACACAGCCCCCACACCCCUACGGGAGGCAACUAUGGAAACUCCUCCGAUGUGGGGAAAUCCGAGACAGAACCACCCCGCGAGAGAGAAAAGUGUUCUCAUAUCAAAACUCUCUGGUGUAAGACAAAAAAGAGUGAGAGAGUGAAAAUCUCACUGUGACAGUGUCUUUUACCAAAGGGACAGCUAUAUCUACGUCCCCACCCCCGCGAAUAUACAUGUCCCCAGAGCUGUCCGCAUUUAUUGUGCGUAUAACGAGAGCACGCGCGUAUAGAUAUCUCUAAUUUUAGGCGGUGUGUUACACACAUAACUCUCUGUAAACUGUGUCACUUUUGUGUGCAAAGGGAGAGAGUGAAUCUCUGUGUGUCGCGGAGAUAUGCAUAUAUAUGUAGAAGAACCGCGGGGGAAAGCGCGUCUCUCUGUUGUGACUGAGACUCAGACGCUCAAAAGUGUGGAGAACACACGAUUAUAUACACUGUGAUACCCCACCCCAUACAA